CCAACAGGGAUUGCCUCAGUAACGGCGAGUGAAGCGGCAACAGCUCAAAUUUGAAAUCUGGCCCUUUCGGGGUCCGAGUUGUAAUUUGUAGAGAGUGUUUCGGGGGAGACCACGGUCUAAGUCCAUUGGAACAUGGCGUCAUAGAGGGUGAGAAUCCCGUAUGUGACCGUGGAUCGGGCCCAUGUGAAGCCUCUUCGACGAGUCGAGUUGUUUGGGAAUGCAGCUCAAAAUGGGUGGUAAAUUUCAUCUAAAGCUAAAUACUGGCUGGAGACCGAUAGCGCACAAGUAGAGUGAUCGAAAGAUGAAAAGCACUUUGGAAAGAGAGUCAAACAGUACGUGAAAUUGUUGAAAGGGAAGCGCUUGCAACCAGACCUGCCCGUAGGCGAUCAGCCGCUGUUCUCAGUGGUGCACUCGCUCUGCGAUCAGGCCAGCAUCGGUUCGGGCGGCCGGAUAAAGGCCUUGGGAAUGUAGCUCCCUCCGGGGAGUCUUAUAGCCCUCGGUGCAAUGCGGCCAGCCGGGACCGAGGACCGCGCUUCGGCUAGGAUGCUGGCGUAAUGGUUGUAAGCGACCCGUCUUGAAACACGGACCAAGGAGUCUAACAUCUAUGCGAGUGUUUGGGUGUCAAACCCAUGCGCGGAAUGAAAGUGAACGGAGGUGAGAACCCUUAAGGGCGCAUCAUCGACCGAUCCAGAUGUCUUCGGAUGGAUUUGAGUAUGAGCAUAGCUGUUGGGACCCGAAAGAUGGUGAACUAUGCCUGAAUAGGGUGAAGCCAGAGGAAACUCUGGUGGAGGCUCGCAGCGGUUCUGACGUGCAAAUCGAUCGUCAAACUUGGGUAUAGGGGCGAAAGACUAAUCGAACCAUCUAGUAGCUGGUUCCUGCCGAAGUUUCCCUCAGGAUAGCAGUAACGUUUUCAGUUUUAUGAGGUAAAGCGAAUGGUUAGAGGCCUUGGGGUUGAAACAACCUUAACCUAUUCUCAAACUUUAAAUAUGUAAGAAGUCCUUGUUACUUAGUUGAACGUGGACAUUUGAAUGCAUCGUUACUAGUGGGCCAUUUUUGGUAAGCAGAACUGGCGAUGCGGGAUGAACCGAACGCUCGGUUAAGGUGCCGGAAUGUACGCUCAUCAGACACCAAAGGAUUCUCUUUGUGGUGUCAAAACCCCAUUAAGCUUCGGCUUGGUGGGAAAGUCUUUAUCGAAAGGCGAGGUCUUUGAUCUAUAGGGGCUCGCUCAUGUUAGCUUACCCUUGGCCAUUCAAUGUGGCUCACAGAUCAGGCAAAGGCCGGCGGUUCCUUCUGAAUGAUAACCGUUGGAGAUAUGAUCGGCUUCCGGGUUAUAAGCCCGGGAACGUAGCGCAAAAGGUGUUGAUUCAUCUAGACAGCCGGACGGUGGCCAUGGAAGUCGGAAACCGCUAAGGAGUGUGUAACAACUCACCGGCCGAAUGAAUCAGCCCUGAAAAUGGAUGGCGCUCAAGCGUGCUACCCAUACCGAGCCGCCAGGGUAGAAACGAUGCCCCGGCGAGUAGGCAGGCGUGGGGGUCAGUGACGAAGCCUUGGGAGUG
rnacentral:rRNA from 1 species